rnacentral:rRNA from 1 species
UGGGGGAUAUUGCACAAUGGGGGGAACCCUGAUGCAGCGACGCCGCGUGGAGGAAGAAGUAUCUCGGUAUGUAAACUCCUAUCAGCAGGGAAGAAAGAAGACGGUACCUGACUAAGAAGCCCCGGCUAACUACGUGCCAGCAGCCGCGGUAAUACGUAGGGGGCGAGCGUUAUCCGGAUUUACUGGGUGUAAAGGGAGCGUAGACGGCCAUGCAAGCCUGAUGUGAAAGGUGUGGGCACAACCCGCACACUGCAUUGGGAACUGUAUGGCUAGAGUGUCGGAGGGGCAGGCGGAAUUCCUGGU